CAAAUGUUAUAGAAAAGUGUUGUGACGAGUCAGAAGCGUGUGGAUCCAUUUGCAGCUUUUAUUAGAAUAGUCAGACAAUACAAGGUCAAAUACUGGCAAGGUAGAACAGCAGAGACAAGGCUGAGACAGAGUCGAGUACCAGGCGAGAGAUCGGGGCAGGCGGCAAGCAAUCAGAGUCCAGGGGAAACAAUCCAAUAACAGAUGCACAGAAAAUCAAACACGGGUAUAAAGCUCGGAAAUGAC